rnacentral:other from 1 species
GAAUCCCUGCCCGACGCGAUACGCUCGGACCUAUUUUGAGCCAACAGUACCGUAAGGGGAACCCCGACUCCGUCCGGGUAGAAGGCGGUCCUUCGGGACGCUUCAAGCCGGCCGGGAGGGUGCCCACCUGGAGAAAUCCGGGUCAAAAAUAGGGCGGGCAAUCGGCCGCGGUGGGGAUUCU